CCUACGGGAGGCAGCAGUAGGGAAUAUUGCACAAUGGGGGAAACCCUGAAGCAGCAACGCCGCGUGGAGGAUGAAGGUUUUCGGAUUGUAAACUCCUGUUGUUAGAGAAGAGAAUGACGGUAUCUAACGAAUAAUCACCGGCUAACUCCGUGCCAGCAGCCGAGGUAAUACGGAGGGUGCAAGCGUUAUUCGGAAUCACGGGGCGUAAAGGGCGCGUAGGCGGGAUAGCAAGUCAGGUGUGAAAUCCUCUGGCUUAACCGUAGAACUGCAUUUGAAACUGUUAUGCUAGAGUAUGGGAGAGGUAAGUGGAAUUCUUGGUGUAGAGGUGAAAUCCGUAGAGAUCAGGAGGAAUACUCAUUGCGAAGGCGACCUGCUAGAACGUAACUGACGCUGAUGCGCGAAAGCGUGGGGAGCAAACAGGAUUAGAUACCCGGGUAGUC
rnacentral:rRNA from 1 species